UACGUAGGGUGCGAGCGUUGUCCGGAAUUAUUGGGCGUAAAGAGCUCGUAGGCGGUUUGUCGCGUCGACUGUGAAAACCUGGGGCUUAACUCUGGGCCUGCAGUCGAUACGGGCAGACUUGAGUUCGGCAGGGGAGACUGGAAUUCCUGGUGUAGCGGUGAAAUGCGCAGAUAUCAGGAGGAACACCGGUGGCGAAGGCGGGUCUCUGGGCCGAUACUGACGCUGAGGAGCGAAAGCGUGGGGAGCGAACAGG
rnacentral:rRNA from 1 species